GUUCUUACUGCUCCUAAUAGAGCACCCCCCCCCCCCCCAGCAGCAGAACACUCAGACCCAGGUUCUUACUGCUCCUAAUAGAGCACCCCCCCCCCCCCAGCAGCAGAACACUCAGACUGGGUUCUUACUGCUCCUACUAGAGCAUCUCCCCCCCCCCCCCCCCCCCCCAGCAGCAGAACACUCAGACUAGGUUCUUACUGCUCCUAGUAGAGCAUCCCCCCCCCCCCCAGCAGAACACUCAGACUGGGUUCUCACUGCUCUUAGUAGAUCAUCUCCCCCCUCCCCCCAGCAGCAGAACACUCAGACUGGGUUCUCACUGCUCCUAGUAGAACUCAGCUCAGUGAAAGUCUGUGCUUGCAUACUCCUUCAAAAUAACCUUUGCUUAAAAAAAACGAGAACAAAAAAAAGCAACAAUAUGACUGUUUGUCCCUCUUGAGACAACACAGCCAGUAACACUUUCUUAAAACAGUCUGAAUUAAUCUAAGAUAAAUCAAGAAAUCUGAAAAUCAUUCUGAUGUUUUUUUGCAAGGUCUUAGUCGCGCAUUUUUACAUCGAAAAUUGGGGCAGUAAUUCUCAAGUGAACUUGCAUGAAAACUAGUCGUCUCUUGUUGAAUAACAACAAACACUUACUUGAAGAAUCACGUCCAUAGUUCCCAAUCCUACUAGGAGUAGUGCUCUUGACCAAUGACGGACGAAGGGGCAUAGACUUCGGCUACCGAACCUCAACUUGCCUCAAUAAAACAUUCUGUGUGCGUGAACAGCCCCAAAAACCUGCCCGAAGAUCAAAACGUCACAAAACUUUGUCCCAAUACAGGUCCCAAUACAGGUACCAAUACAGGUCCCACCACAGGUCCCAAUACAGGUCCCACUACAGGUCCCAAUACAGGUCCCACCACAGGUCCCACCACAGGUCCCAAUACAGGUCCCACCACAGGUCCCAAUACAGGUCCCAAUACAGGUCCCACCACAAGUCCCAAUACAGGUCCCAAUACAGGUCCCACCACAGGUCCCAAUACAGGUCCCACCACAGGUCCCAAUACAGGUCCCACCACAGGUCCCAAUACAGGUCCCACCACAGGUCCCAAUACAGGUCCCACCACAGGUCCCAAUACAGGUCCCAAUACAGGUCCCACCACAGGUCCCACCACAGGUCCCAAUACAGGUCCUAAUACAGGUCUCACCACAGGUCCCAAUACAGGUCCUAAUACAGGUCUCACCACAGGUCCCAAUACAGGUCCUAAUACAGGUCCCAAUAGAGGUCCCAAUAGAGGUCCCAAUACAGGUCCCACCACAGGUCCUAAUACAGGUUCAAAUACAGGUCCUAAUACCGGUCUCACCCCAGGUCCCAAUACAGGUCCUAAUACAGGUCAUAAUACAGGUCCCAAUACAGGUUCCAAUACAGGUCCCACCACAGGUCCCAAUAGAGGUCCCAAUAGAGGUCCCAAUACAGGUCCCACCACAGGUCCUAAUACAGGUUCAAAUACAGGUCCUAAUACCGGUCUCACCCCAGGUCCCAAUACAGGUCCUAAUACAGGUCCCAAUACAGGUCCCAAUACAGGUCCACAGUAGACCCAGUCUCCACAGAAGACCCAGUCUCCACAGUAGACCCAGUCUCCACAGUAGACCCAGUCUCCACAGUCUCCACAGUAGACCCAGUCUCCACAGUGGACCCAGUCUCCACAGUAGACCCAGUCUCCACAGUAGACCCAGUCUCCACAGUAGACCCAGUCUCCACAGUAGACCCAGUCUCCACAGUGGACCCAGUCUCCACAGUGGACCCAGUCUCCAGAGUAGUCCCAGUCUCCAGAGUAGACCCAGCCUCUAUAUUCCUCUAUCUGUUCAUAAAUAACUUUUUCCAGUUGCACUUUUCCUGCCCUUCUUGUGGAUAGGGGAUCACUGCGGCAUGUUUCGUAUCCCUGGAAACUCUACCCUGCUCAACAGAGAUGUUGAUUAAAUGGGUGAAAUAGAGAACAAUAAGUUCAGCACAAUCUCUUUCAAACCUGGCAGGGAUAAUGUUGAGGCCUAUAGCUUUAUAGCAGUUUAGUUCAGACAGUCUCUUGACACCUUCAGCCUGAGACACUGCUGUAAAGGAAAAGGCUUCCGCUUGCACGUCCAUCUUGGAGUUAUAACCUAGGACCCUCCCCUCCCCUCCAGUACGUCCAUCUUGGAGUUAUAACCUAGGACCCUCCCUUCCCCUCCAGUACGUCCAUCUUGGAGUAAUAACCUAGGACCCUCCCCUCCCCUCCACUACAUCCAUCUUGGAGUUAUAACCUAGGACCCUCCCCUCCCCUCCAGUACGUCCAUCUUGGAGUAAUAACCUAGGACCCUCCUCUCCCCUCCAGUACGUCCAUCUUGGAGUAAUAACCUAGGACCCUCCUCUCCCCUCCACUACAUCCAUCUUGGAGUUAUAACCUAGGACCCUCCCCUCCCCUCCAGUACAUUCAUCUUGGAGUAAUAACCUAGGACCCUCCCCUCCCCUCCAGUACAUCCAUCUUGGAGUAAUAACCUAGGACCCUCCCCUCCAGUACAUCCAUCUUGGAGGAAUAACCUAGGACCCUCCCCUCCAGUACAUCCAUCUUGGAGUAAUAACCUAGGACCCUCCCCUCCAGUACAUCCAUCUUGGAGUAAUAACCUAGGACCCUCCCCUCCAGUACAUCCAUCUUGGAGUAAUAACCUAGGACCCUCCCCUCCCCUCCAGUAUAUCCAUAUUGGAGUAAUAACCUAGGACCCUCCCCUCCAGUACAUCCAUCUUGGAGUAAUAACCUAGGACCCCCGCCCCUCCCCUCCAGUACAUCCACCUUGGAGUAAUAACCUAGGACCUGACCCGACCCUCCAGUGUAUCCAUCUUGGAGUAAUAACCUAGAACCCUCCCCUCCACUACAUCCAUCUUGGAGUAAUAACCUAGGACCCUCCCCCCCAGUACAUCCAUCUUGGAGUAAUAACCUAGGACCCUCCCCUCCAGUACAUCCAUCUUGGAGUAAUAACCUAGGACUCCCCCCCCCCCUCCCCUCCAGUACAUCCAUCUUGGAGUAAUAACCUAGGACCUGACCCGACCCUCCACUACAUCCAUCUUGGAGUAAUAACCUAGGACCCUCCCCUCCAGUACAUCCAUCUUGGAGUAAUAACCUAGGACCCUCCCCUCCAGUACAUCCAUCUUGGAGUAAUAACCUAGGACCCUCCCCUCCAGUACAUCCAUCUUGGAGUAAUAACCUAGGACCCUCCCCUCCAGUAAAUCCAUCUUGGAGUAAUAACCCAGGACCCUCCCCUCCAGUACAUCCAUCUUGGAGUAAUAACCUAGGACCCUCCCCUCCCCUCCAGUAUAUCCAUAUUGGAGUAAUAACCUAGGACCCUCCCCUCCAGUAAAUCCAUCUUGGAGUAAUAACCUAGGACCCUCCCCUCCAGUACAUCCAUCUUGGAGUAAUAACCUAGGACCCUCCCCUCCAGUAUAUCCAUAUUGGAGUAAUAACCUAGGACCCUCCCCUCCAGUACAUCCAUCUUGGAGUAAUAACCUAGGACCCCCGCCCCUCCCCUCCAGUACAUCCACCUUGGAGUAAUAACCUAGGACCUGACCCGACCCUCCAGUGUAUCCAUCUUGGAGUAAUAACCUAGAACCCUCCCCCCCAGUACAUCCAUCUUGGAGUAAUAACCUAGGACCCCCCCCCCCCCCCCCAGUACAUCCAUCUUGGAGUAAUAACCUAGGACCCCCCCCCCCCCCCCCCCCCCCCAGUACAUCCACCUUGGAGUUAUAACCUAGGACCCUCCCCUCCAGUACAUCCAUCUUGGAGUAAUAACCUAGGACCCGACCCGUCCCUCCAGUACAUCCUUAGGGUGAUGUGUCUAGUGAAAGCAUCUUCCUCUUUGGUUCUGUUAUAGUCUUGAUUUAAUGGCCUCAGGGAUUUCCUGAUUCAUCCAAUGUUCAGUUCUUUGUUUAAUUCUAAAGGUUUUCCAUGGAGUCACUAUAUCCACAAUGUUUAAGAAACAGUUGUUUAAACUGUCCCAUGAUUAUCGAUGUCUCAACCAAAUAUUACCCACAUGUCCACUUUGAAAUGAUGUGGUGAGCCCAGUGGAUCUCUCUCUCUCUCUCUCUCAAACACAAUCACUCCCUCUUUCCCCUCUCUUUAGGCUGUCUCUCUCUCUCUCUCUCUCUCUCAAACACAAUCACUCUCUCUUUCCCCUCUCUUUAGGCUGGCUCUCUCUCUCUAUCUCUCUCAAACACAAUCACUCUCUCUUUCCCCUCUCUUUAGGCUGCCUCUCUCUCUCUCUCUCUCUCUCACAAACACAAUCACUCUCUCUUUCCCCUCUCUUUAGGCUACCCCUCUCUCUCCUCUCUCCUUCCUUCCACUGCGGUUUCCUGCAAUCAUCCAGGGCCUGUCUUGCCAAGAUAUAGCCAGUAACUCCCGCUUCCAACUGUACACGUAUUCUCUUUUCUCUCUCCCCUUCCUCUUGAGAUCACGGUGUAUUCCCCAUUUCCCCAAUCCCCGCAGACACAUUUUAUAAAUCCCGAUUAAUCUCAAAUAACGGCCACACAGCAGGCAAUAACAGUACAAUGACAUCGGUUAACUAACAUACCAGCUGUUUUAGUCGAUUUGUUACCGGAAAGAAGAAAGAGGAAGCCCCUCCGCUGAAAGUACAAACUGUUCUAUUCACAAUAACAUCCGGCCGGUUUAAAAUGUUUAUUUUUAAUUUUUCUUAA
ensembl:lncRNA